CUAACAUUAAUAUGCAGUUUAUCCAGCUACGUCAUCAAGGGCUUCGCUUCCAAUUUUUUUCUGAUAACGGUUGUUUUAAACUCCGAAGCGUUUUCCCUCCAACUGCAAGUCCAGCUCUGUCGCCGUGCUGUGGGCUCACACUGCUUCAGCUCUUCGCAAGACAGGUUUUAUUCCCUAACUGCGGCGUCUCAACCAGAGUACCUACUGCUGGAGAACGUCGUCCACCACUUCUCCUUCCCCUGCAUCCUGGACCUGAAGAUGGGAACCGGCAGCACGGCGACGACGCCUCUGAGGAGAAGGCAGCCCGGCAGAUAAAGAAAUGCGAACAGAGCACUUCGGCCAAGCUGGGCGUCAGAAUGUGUGGCAUGCAGGAAUUGCAGGAGCCAUGUGUCUCCCUCCCCCCAACAGCAUGGACAGUAAGCAACAGGGGCCGGUGACAGGGGGAGUGGCUUUACCAAACCCACAAGAUGGAGGCGUUUCUCUGGAGCCCUUCAUACACCAGGUGGGGGGUCACACCAGCAUGAUGCGGUACGAUGACCACACCGUGUGUAAGCCUCUGAUCAGCAGAGAGCAGCGCUUCUAUGAGUCUCUGCCUCCUGAGAUGAAGGAGUUCACUCCCGAGUAUAAAGGUCAGUGGCCGCUCUCUGAUGUUUCGGAUCAGAACCGUUGGGCUCUUCAUGCCGCCAGACCUCAUCUCAGUGCAGUAUUAUGAAACCUGCUGCACACAUUACUGGAGCUGAAUUGAUUAAUCAAUUAUCAAAAUAAUCAUCAACUAAUUUAGUAAGUCUC